GAUGAAGAACGUAGCGAAAUGCGAUAAGUAAUGUGAAUUGCAGAAUUCAGUGAAUCAUCGAAUCUUUGAACGCACAUUGCGGCCGCUAGUAUUCUGGCGGGCAUGCCUGUUCGAGCGUCAUUUCAACCAUCAAGCCCCCAGGCCUAGGCUUGUGUUGGAGCCCUGCGGCUGUCCGCAGCCUCCUAAAAACAGUGGCGGGCUCGCUAUAAUACCGAGUGCAGUAGUUUACUCUUCGCUCAGGGCGUGUAGCGGGUUCCGGCCGUAAAACCCCCUAUUUCUAAAGGUUGACCUCGGAUCAGGUAGGAAUACCCGCUGAACUUAAGCAUAUCAAUAAGCGGAGGA
rnacentral:misc_RNA from 1 species